rnacentral:rRNA from 1 species
UACGGAGGGGGCAAGCGUUGUCCGGAUUUAUUGGGCGUAAAGAGCGUGUAGGCGGUUAUGUAAGUCCGCUGUGAAAACUCGAGGCUCAACCUCGAGACGCCGAUGGAAACCAUCUAACUAGAGUCCGGAAGAGGAGAAUGGAAUUCCUGGUGUAGCGGUGAAAUGCGCAGAUAUCAGGAAGAACACCCGUGGCUGAGGCGGUUCUCUAGUACGGUACUGACGCUGAGACGCGAAAGCGUGGGGAGCGAACAGG